rnacentral:rRNA from 1 species
AACGAUGAACCGGUGCUUGCACCGGGGAUUAGUGGCGAACGGGUGAGUAACACGUGAGUAACCUGCCCUGGACUCUGGGAUAACCCCGAGAAAUCGGAGCUAAUACCGGAUAGGACCUGGAACCGCAUGGUUUUGGGUGGAAAGUUUUUCGGUCUGGGAUGGACUCGCGGCCUAUCAGCUUGUUGGUGAGGUAAUGGCUCACCAAGGCGUCGACGGGUAGCCGGCCUGAGAGGGUGACCGGCCACACUGGGACUGAGACACGGCCCAGACUCCUACGGGAGGCAGCAGUGGGGAAUAUUGCACAAUGGGCGCAAGCCUGAUGCAGCAACGCCGCGUGAGGGAUGACGGCCUUCGGGUUGUAAACCUCUUUUAGUAGGGAAGAAGGGCUUCGGCUUGACGGUACCUGCAGAAAAAGCACCGGCUAACUACGUGCCAGCAGCCGCGGUAAUACGUAGGGUGCGAGCGUUGUCCGGAAUUAUUGGGCGUAAAGAGCUCGUAGGCGGUUUGUCACGUCUGCUGUGAAAUCCCGAGGCUCAACCUCGGGCCUGCAGUGGGUACGGGC